rnacentral:rRNA from 1 species
GAUGAACGCUAGCGGCAGGCCUAACACAUGCAAGUCGAGGGGUAGAACACUUCGGUGUUUGAGACCGGCGCACGGGUGCGUAACGCGUAUGCAAUCUACCUUGUACAGGGGAAUAGCCCAGAGAAAUUUGGAUUAAUGCCCCAUAGUAUAUAACCUUCGCGUGUUGGUUAUAUUAAAGUUCCAACGGUACAAGAUGAGCAUGCGUCCCAUUAGUUAGUUGGUAAGGUAACGGCUUACCAAGACGAUGAUGGGUAGGGGUCCUGAGAGGGAGAGCCCCCACACUGGAACUCAGACACGGACCAGACUACUUCGGGAGGGAGCAGUGAGGAAUAUUGGUCAAUGGGCGCAAGCCUGAACCAGCCAUGCCGCGUGCAGGAAGACGGUCCUAUGGAUUGUAAACUGCUUUUAUACAGGAAGAAACCCUCCCACGUGUGGGAGAUUGACGGUACUGUAGGAAUAAGGAUCGGCUAACUCCUUGCCAGCCGCCGCCGUAACAC